rnacentral:rRNA from 1 species
UGGGGAAUAUUGCGCAAUGGGGGAAACCCUGACGCAGCGACGCCGCGUGAGCGAUGAAGGCCUUCGGGUUGUAAAGCUCUGUUUUAAGGGACGAAUGUUCAUGGGAGUAACUGCCUAUGAAAUGACGGUACCUUAAGAGGAAGCCCCGGCUAACUACGU